ACUGAGUGGCGACGGGUGAGUAACGCGUGGGUAACCUGCCCUGUACAGGGGGACAACAGUUAGAAAUGACUGCUAAUACCGCAUAAGCGCACAGGACCGCAUGGUCCGGUGUGAAAAACUCCGGUGGUACAGGAUGGACCCGCGUCUGAUUAGGUAGUUGGCGGGGUAACGGCCCACCAAGCCGACGAUCAGUAGCCGACCUGAGAGGGUGACCGGCCACAUUGGGACUGAGACACGGCCCAAACUCCUACGGGAGGCAGCAG
rnacentral:rRNA from 1 species